GACGAACGCUGGCGGCGUGCUUAACACAUGCAAGUCGAACGGAAAGGCCUCUUUCGGGGGGUACUCGAGUGGCGAACGGGUGAGUAACACGUGAGUAACCUGCCCUUGACUUUGGGAUAACUUCAGGAAACUGGGGCUAAUACCGGAUAGGAGCUCCUGCUGCCUGGUGGGGGUUGGAAAGUUUCGGCGGUUGGGGAUGGACUCGCGGCUUAUCAGCUUGUUGGUGGGGUAGUGGCUUACCAAGGCUUUGACGGGUAGCCGGCCUGAGAGGGUGACCGGCCACAUUGGGACUGAGAUACGGCCCAGACUCCUACGGGAGGAAGCAGUGGGGAAUAUUGCACAAUGGGUGGAAGCCUGAUGCAGCAACGCCGUGUGCGGGAUGACGGCCUUCGGGUUGUAAACCGCUUUCGCUCAUGACGAAGCUUUGUGUGACGGUAGUGGGUAAAGAAGCACCGGCUAACUACGUG
rnacentral:rRNA from 1 species